rnacentral:rRNA from 1 species
AUUGAACGCUGGCGGCAGGCCUAACACAUGCAAGUCGAGCGGAGCGGCGGACGGGUGAGUAAUUCCUAGGAAUCUGCCUGGUCGAGGGGGAUGACGUCAGGAAAGGGACCCUAAUACCGCACCCUACUAGAUGAGCCUUGUUCGGAUUAGCUAGUUGGUGGGGUAAAGGCUUACCAAGGCGACGAUCCAUAACUGGUCUGAGAGGAUGAUCAGUCACACUGGAACUGAGACACGGUCCAGACUCCUACGGGAGGCAGCAGUGGGGAAUCUUCGACAAUGGGCGAAAGCCUGAUCCAGCCAUGCCGCGUGUGUGAAGAAGGUCUUCGGAUUGUAAAGCACUUUUAGUUGGGAGGCGUUACCAACAGAAUAAGCACCGGCUAACUUCGUGCCAGCAGCCGCGGUAAUAC